GACGAACGCUGGCGGCGUGCCUAAUACAUGCAAGUAGAACGCUGAAGGAGGAGCUUGCUCUUCUGGAUGAGUUGCGAACGGGUGAGUAACGCGUAGGUAACCUGCCUGGUAGCGGGGGAUAACUAUUGGAAACGAUAGCUAAUACCGCAUAAAAUUGAUUAUUGCAUGAUAGUCAAUUAAAAGGUGCAAUUGCAUCACUACCAGAUGGACCUGCGUUGUAUUAGCUAGUUGGUGAGGUAACGGCUCACCAAGGCAACGAUACAUAGCCGACCUGAGAGGGUGAUCGGCCACACUGGGACGGAGACACGGCCCAGACUCCUACGGGAGGCAGCAGUAGGGAAUCUUCGGCAAUGGACGGAAGUCUGACCGAGCAACGCCGCGUGAGUGAAGAAGGUUUUCGGAUCGUAAAGCUCUGUUGUAAGAGAAGAACGAGUGUGAGAGUGGAAAGUUCACACUGUGACGGUAUCUUACCAGAAAGGGACGGCUAACUACGUG
rnacentral:rRNA from 1 species